rnacentral:rRNA from 1 species
AUGCUAUUUGGGGGAUUUGUUCUUCUACUAGGGGGUCUAGGAGUAGUAUUACUUACCAACCCCAUUUAUUUUGCCUUUUCACUGGGAUUAGUUCUUGUUUGUAUAUCCUUAUUCUAUUUUUUAUUAAAUUCCUACUUUGUAGCUGUCGCACCCCUGCAAAAGAAGAAAUUAUACCUCUUUCUAUAA